rnacentral:rRNA from 1 species
CAGUCGAGCGGUAACAGAUCCAGCUUGCUGGAUGCUGACGAGCGGCGGACGGGUGAGUAAUGCAUAGGAAUCUGCCCGAUAGUGGGGGAUAACCUGGGGAAACCCAGGCUAAUACCGCAUACGUCCUACGGGAGAAAGGGGGCUCCGGCUCCCGCUAUGGGAUGAGCCUAUGUCGGAUUAGCUAGUUGGUGAGGUAACGGCUCACCAAGGCCACGAUCCGUAGCUGGUCUGAGAGGAUGAUCAGCCACAUCGGGACUGAGACACGGCCCGAACUCCUACGGGAGGCAGCAGUGGGGAAUAUUGGACAAUGGGGGAAACCCUGAUCCAGCCAUGCCGCGUGUGUGAAGAAGGCCCUCGGGUUGUAAAGCACUUUCAGCGAGGAAGAACGCCUAGCGGUUAAUACCCGCUAGGAAAGACAUCACUCGCAGAAGAAGCACCGGCUAACUCCGUGCCAGCAGCCGCGGUAAUACGGAGGGUGCAAGCGUUAAUCGGAAUUACUGGGCGUAAAGCGCGCGUAGGUGGCUUGAUAAGCCGGUUGUGAAAGCCCCGGGCUCAACCUGGGAACGGCAUCCGGAACUGUCAAGCUAGAGUGCAGGAGAGGAAGGUAGAAUUCCCGGUGUAGCGGUGAAAUGCGUAGAGAUCGGGAGGAAUACCAGUGGCGAAGGCGGCCUUCUGGACUGACACUGACACUGAGGUGCGAAAGCGUGGGUAGCAAACAGGAUUAGAUACGCCUGGUAGUCCACGCCGUAAACGAUGUCGACCAGCCGUUGGGUGCCUAGCGCACUUUGUGGCGAAGUUAACGCGAUAAGUCGACCGCCUGGGGGAGUACGGCCGCAAGGUUAAAACUCAAAUGAAUUGACGGGGGCCCGCACAAGCGGUG